UGGAGGGGCUGUGUUUAUUAGAUACAAAACCAACCCACUUUKUGGAGUCSUGGUGAUUCAUAGUAACCGAACRGAUCGCAGUUGGCUUCGGCCCGCGAUGGAUCUUUCAAGUUUCUGACCUAUCAGCUUUCGACGGUAGGGUAUUGGCCUACCGUGGCAGUGACGGGUAACGGGGAAUUAGGGUUCGAUUCCGGAGAGGGAGCCUGAGAAACGGCUACCACAUCUAAGGAAGGCAGCAGGCGCGCAAAUUACCCAAUGAAAACAGUUUCGAGGUAGUGACGAGAAAUAACAAUACAGGGCAUUUUAUGCUCUGUAAUUGGAAUGAUGGGAAYSYAAAACCCUUUCAGARUAWCAAUUGGAGGGCAAGUCUGGUGCCAGCAGCCGCGGUAAUUCCAGCUCCAAUAGUGUAUAUUAGAGUUGUUGCAGUUAAAAAGCUCGUAGUUGRAUUUCUGUCGUGGUCAWCMGGUACCGCCCGUAUGGGUGUGCACYWGGUUYGCCCUCGACUUUCUUCCG
rnacentral:rRNA from 1 species